CGCGGGGUGGUAGCAGUUAGGUAGCUUCGCGGCCUCAUAAGCCGAAGGUCACAGGUUCAAUUCCUGUUCCCGCGACCA
rnacentral:tRNA from 1 species